GUUUUUAAGAGUUAUCUGGAUGAAUUUGGGGUUCCAUAACUUGCCCAAUGUAACCUUAUCCAAGAUAACAGUGGAAUCAUUUGUGUAUUUGUCAUCUCUCCUGCUAAAUUAUAAGUCCCUUGUGACCUGGGACUUAUUUUAUUAUCUGAUUGUCUAGCAUUGUGAAUUGUACAUAAAAGGUGCUCAAUAAAUGCCUACUUAUUGAGUGAAUGAAUGAAUGAAUUCUAAUUUAGUCUCCACUGCUACCAUUGCCACUUGAUUACUGUUCCUAAGCAAAUACUAAAACCCUGAGGAAUGUUUUAUGGGAAUCAUUGUAGAUGUGGAAAUCCACAUAGCUGCAUGAUGUGUCUGGCUUCAGAGUGUCCCUGCUGCAAUAUCACAGCAUGUCUUGGACCUCAUUGUGAUGAAGCACUUGGAGCAGUUAAAGCUGCACCUCCGUUGUGCAAACAGACAGUUUCAUUAAGCAUCCAGGCUGAAAAAUGCAGGUGCACUCGCCAGACUUUGCAGAACAAGGAAUGCAGGUUUCAAAUAUCUAUUAAUCACCCAGCUUACAAAAAAGAGAAUCUUCCAGAUUGUUUCUGGCAGUAUCAAUUGUACUCAUAUGAAUCACCAGAAGUGUGAAGUACUCAUCAGGUUUGACAAGUCUUUGGAGAUUCUCCAUCUCCCCUGGAUACAGGCAUGGGAAAGGCAGCUGAUCUCUCAGCUACUUUGCUUUCUCUGUGCUGAGCUUCAUCAAUCAUCACUCUUCAAUUCUUCUGCUGAUGAUGAUUACUGGGUGGUACUCUUCAUCUCUUCUUCUACUGAUUGUUAUUGGGUAAUGUUCUACCUAAUGACAUCUGUGAAGCCACAUCAUCAUUCCUUGAAAGAUAAGCAACAAUUUCCUCCUCAAAUCAUCUCCUCUUCUUUAUGAGACCAUUAAAAAAAAAACACAGACUCAAGGAGCCUCUUGCUCAGUGAAUAUGGAAGAACAAUGGCUAAGAGAGCAUUUAAAAUUUUUUUGUUCCUGUAUAUUGUGUGUGCCUCUUCCUCAAGCCUUUAGGUUUUACUCCCUCAGUAUGAAUGUUAACAGUUUUUUGCAGCUAACUUCAUUUCUGCUUCCUAUUCAAGACAAAAUACAAUCUCUUUUAAUUCCCAUGUACAUGUCCAUCAGCUGAACAGAAUCUAUAGGCCUUAUCCGAGAGUUAUUAGAGAGAAGAAUCUGUAAUAAACCAUGGUUUACAGGGAAAACA
rnacentral:lncRNA from 1 species